UUGUGCUGUAACCUCUUCCAAGUCUAGUUGCUAUGUCAAAUUUCUUAGAUCUCUGUACUUUCCUGCUGUUAGGAAUAUGACAGUGCAGAUGCUGUACACUCACUGUUCACCCGCUGCAAUCCUGUUCGACCCCAGACGCCGGCAACACACGGAUAGGUGUUUCUCCCUUAUCUAAAUCUAAGCUGCCUUCUCCCAGAAGUCGAUCACUCCGGUCUCUCUGGUCACCUCCAACUGCUCCAAGUGUAUAGCUCACAGCUCAAUAUUGGGAGACGGCCAUUCAAUCGGGUGUUUUAGCGCGUCAUGAAUGCUCUCCUGCCUUCAGUUGCGGUAAGUCUCCUCCUUCAGACGUGCACGAGCCCGUGCGUCACUUCAUCACGUUCUGCUUUGAGCAACACUUUUGAUGAUGUCAGUCAUGUGUUUGGCUUGUUCUGGC